UACGGGGGGGGCAAGCGUUGUUCGGAAUUACUGGGCGUAAAGGGCUCGUAGGCGGCCAACUAAGUCAGACGUGAAAUCCCUCGGCUUAACCGGGGAACUGCGUCUGAUACUGGAUGGCUUGAGGCAUGGAGAGGGAUGCGGAAUUCCCGGUGUAGUGGUGAAAUGCGUAGAUAUCGGGAGGAACACCAGUGGCGAAGGCGGCAUCCUGGCCAUGUCCUGACGCUCAGGGGCGAAAGCGUGGGGAGCAAACCGG
rnacentral:rRNA from 1 species